GCAGCUGCAGGUGCGUCGGCCACUACAGCGUCGCCGGAUGCGAACGCUAGGGCGGUGGAGCGGAGGUUUAGGAUCUCGCUACCUUGGCCGUUCAGUGGCUUUGGGACACAAGCUGAGGGGAGUGGUUCUGGCGCUGGAGAUGGCUCGGACAAUGCCAACAACCAAGGCGGCAGAGAUGGUCCUGGGGGAAACAGUUCAGCACAACGUCAAGAGGAUUUGGAUU
rnacentral:misc_RNA from 1 species